rnacentral:rRNA from 1 species
GACGAACGCUGGCGGCGUGCCUAAUACAUGCAAGUAGAACGCAGUUGCGAACGGGUGAGUAACGCGUAGGUACCUGCCUCAUGGCGGGGGAUCACUAUUGGAAACGUUAGCUAAUACCGCAUCCUGAGAGCUGGACCUGCGUUGUAUUAGGUAGUUGGUGGGGUAAAGGAGCACCAAGGCGACGAUACAUAGCCGGACUGGGGGGGUUGUUGGCCCACAUGGGACUGGGAAAAGGGCCAGACUCCUAAGGGAGGGAGGAGUAGGGGAAGUUUGGCAAUUGAGGGAAGUCUGACCGAGCAAAGCCGGGUGAGUGGAGAAGGGUUUCGGAACGGAAAGCUCUGUUGGUAGAGAAGCGGUAACUAACCAGAAAGGGACGGCUAACUACGUGCCAGCAGCCGCGGUAAUUC